rnacentral:ncRNA from 1 species
CUAUAGCAUAAUCAUUUUGGUGCUUUGUGUAUUUUAUCGAAGCUUAAAAGGGAAUCAGGUGAAAAUCCUGAGCGGACCGGCCACUGUAAAUGGGGAGCAACUUUUCAAAAUACCACUGGAGAAUCUCUGGGAAGGGGAAAAGGAGCUGAGAACCAUAAGUCAGGAGACCUGCCAAGAUAAUGCAGUAUAG